rnacentral:rRNA from 1 species
AUUAAAUCGCCGUUAAAUUAGCCCUGAGUAGUACCUAAUAACUUUAAACUCAAAGAAUUUGGCGGCACCCCUACCUCUUAGAGGAGACUGCCCCGUAAUUGACGACCCACGAUGAACCCAACCUUCUUUUAAAGCUUGUAUACCGCCGUUAAGAUUAUAUUUGAAAAUAUAUUCGAAAUGAUGUUAAUAAAUACCUCAGGUCAAGGUGCAGCUUAUGGGAAGGUGAGAGGUGGGCUACAAUAAUUUAGGUUAGACGAAUUAGUGGAUUAAAUCUGCUAUGAAGGCGGAUUUAAGAGUAAGUUUAUUACUUAGUAAACUGGCCGGGUU